rnacentral:rRNA from 1 species
UACAGAGGGUGCGAGCGUUGUCCGGAAUCACUGGGCGUAAAGGGCGCGUAGGCGGCCUGAUAAGUAGGGGGUGAAAUCCUGUGGCUUAACUGCAGGGCUGCCUCCUAGACUGUUAGGCUCGAGCACGGUAGAGGCAGAUGGAAUUCCCGGUGUAGCGGUGGAAUGCGUAGAGAUCGGGAAGAACAUCGGUGGCGAAGGCGGUCUGCUGGGCCGUUGCUGACGCUGAGGCGCGAAGGCGUGGGGAGCGAACGGG